rnacentral:lncRNA from 1 species
CUAACAAAAGGCAGUCCUAUAUGGGGAACUUGCCUCCUGAACGUCUUCUCUUCUCUCGAGGUGUGGUGAUGAAGGUGUCAAGAGAUUGACUUCUGGAUUAGAAGGGAAUAGGAAGCUUUUCACUUUGAGCCUCUGCUACUGUGAUUUAGGACCUGCAAGUGGACCAACAUUAGCAACUCUUGUGGUCCAAACUGCCAUUUGCAAAUAAAGAUGCAGAUAGACCUUCAAAAACUGUCGAUUUGAAUACUACUUCCAAGACAAAUAGUUCUACUAUCCUGGGAAGCUCUGGGAAGAAAAAGAAAAGAAAAGGCUUAAAGAAAAAAAGUAUGAAACUGGACUCUGGCCCAUGGUUAGCUAGACUGCAUUUGACAGAUAAUGCCAUAGAUGGGAGGCUUAACCAAACAGGAAAAGGCAUCUCAGAGUUCAUUGAACUUUUGACAUGUUUAAUCAGGAACUCCGACCACCUUGUGGAAGUUGAUAUGGAUGGCAAUUCUAUAGAAGAACAAUAUGCUGUCAAGAUUCUAGAAGCUCUUACUGAUCGAAAGAAAGAAGCAAUGCCGCGCUUAAAAAUUAAGGUAACUCCCCAGAUUUCAUCGGUAACCUUCAGGAAAAUUUUUGGGAGAUGCUCAAAAAUCAAUUCAACUAAAAAGAGAAAGAAAAAGAAAACCAAGUGAUGGUUAAGUCUGCAUUUACUUUCUGAAGAAAUUAUGUCCAAAAAUUUAAUAUAUUCUAACAAUUCUUUGCAUGACAUUCUAAUUUUAUAAAUACUAAUAAAAUUUCCAACAGGUUUCUUGUCA